UGAAAUGUAAUCAGAAAGAAAAUGUGCGGGGAAAACGUGCUCGGUCACUUGCUUGAAAGUGGACGAACUCCGGUUUCUGCGAUCUGUCAAAUAAUUGGAGAAGAUGAAUUUUUGAUUGCCAGAGGAACACAAGUGUAUUAGGACAGUGAAAAGAGAAAAUUGAGUGGAGGAUUCCCAUUGAAACAUUCAACAUUGCAGCUGUUAUCUACUGGUUUUGAGUGAAAUGAGGUGACCUCAACUAAGAUGUUCUGCUCGAUAGUUGAUAUUUGAGGUUAAAAUGUGAUGAUCGAAGAAACUUGCCCUCAAGUUGAUGUAAUGUUAACAUAUGGGUUUUUGUAUAGUUCUGAUUUGGAUUCUUUGCUGACACGUUUUCCUUGGGAUUCACAACAACAUUGUUGGGGAUGAUCAAGAAAACUCAUCGUACCUUUGCUGAUUCAAUUCGAUACUUCGUAGAGCUAAAAAGGCUUGGGAAAAUCAGCAAAAUGCAGAACGGCCAUAUUGGAUUUCAUUUUCGCCAGUUGGGAGAAAAUCAGCUGCUGAUCUUUGCCAUGACGCUGUUACAACUACCCCUAAAUGGAAAUCUGCAAAGUUUUGCCGUCUGAAAUACGUCCCGGAUUUGGACGAAAUGGACACUGGGUGGAGCUGGUGACCUCUGUGUUUGAUUGCAGAGAAGCAGAUCGUCUGCUAAGAAUAAGGGAGCGUCAUACCCAGUUGGAUGCAUCCAAUUACUUGCUGAUGGUGAACGAAAGGAAUUGACAUACCGAGACUUGAAACUGCAUGCGCCGGUUGGACCCCAAUUUCGAACCAAUCACGUUCGCAAUGACAAUGGUUAGCAGUCAGAAAAAAACCCUAAAGAAUAAUGGACAGAAAAUAGUAAAACAAAAACAUACCUAGGAAAGUUAAUCUGAUCAACGAACUUCAAAACCCAAUGGCGAAGGCAAAGGAAUUCCGAUUGUUGCUCGUUAUACUAUACAGCGAAGGGUCGAGUUCUACGAGUACUAAAUCUUAAUUAUCGCCAUUACAGGGACAGAAGAAUGGACAAACAAAAAAGACAUGCGGGUAUGGCGUUUCCCGAAACUGGUUAAUGCCAAGCCUGGAAAACUGCUCGAGGUCAACGCCAGCUGUUCGACAAUGUGACGGGGGAGGGGGGGGGGAGUGAUUACAAAAUGGUUCACUUUGAUGUUUUUAUUAACACUCGAUAUCGAGCUACUGACUGGAAAUUUCAUUAAGGAUUGACGUGAAUUUGCGUUUUAUUGUUGUAAUUAUUUUUGAAAUAUAUUUUUCUUCGCUGUUAUUAUUGCAGGAGUUCACCGAUUUCCUUUGGUUCGCCAGUAAAGCAGCUGUUGCACCUGGAAUCUGGGAACGUUGAAGCGCUGAAGGCAUUGCCACCUUUAUCAGGCACUUGUAUCCGGAGGUUCUUGUUAUCCAAUUCACGAGUGGCGAGAAUCUGAUCCUCGUCAAAUCUGUGUCCCAACCUUUUAUACUGCGAGCCAAACAGCAAUAAACAUUCUGAGAAAUAGCCAUAGGAAAGUCCGAUGGGCGGUCAGCAGGUCAUAAGGCCAGGAGCCUCCACCAUUUAUGCUUCAUGUCUGCUGUGGGUUAGACCUGGCAUAAAGUUGGUUUCAAGAUCACUUUAAAUUGUUGGACAUUGUCUUUGCUGACUUGGAUAGAUCUGGAUAACAACAAACUGAAAGAGCACUGGUAGUAAACAUAAUCAGCCUGGAUUUUAUCAUUCAUGAUUGGAUUGAUUGCAAAAAAAAACUUUUGUGUGUAACUAAAACUUUUGUUUGUUUGUGUUUCUCUCGUUCUCUUUUUAAUAUACUUAAAUUUUUGCAUAAACACUCGUCGUUUCUUGGAAUUAUGUCCAGAUAUCCUAUAAUUUCCCUAUGGGAAUUCUUGUUUAGAUGAUUUAUCAUGGCUGCCAUAGGUAUCUGAUACAAUAGCUUCGUGACGGUCCCGCACUGUGCAGGAUUUCGCGUAGGUGCAAGCUGAUUUUGCGUGGCUGAGAUAUCAUCACAAGGCAACGUCACAUUUCAAAAAAAAAUCCUCAGUGACAUGGAGUGUGAAGAUUUCAAUUUUGUUGAAUGUUUAUUAGUGCCACUAGAUGGCUCUCUUAACCCUGUAAUGUAGGCACUAGGCAGUUGGCCCUGAGCUUUCUCAUAAAUACGUCAUUUUAUUCGUAACUUCACAUCAGACAGACCGCUUGCUUACAUGCUUGUUAAACUUCUUUGUUUUUUUCUGCUCAAUUCGAAAAACAAUGACAGUGGGAAGUAAGGAAAUGGUUUUUGUAAACAUGAUACUUGGAAAUACCAAGGCAAUGGAGGAUUUUGUGCAAAGGAAGGAAUAGGCACCAAGAUUUGAAACGGGAUUCAUGGUGAACCUUUCACUUACCACAUCUUGUUGUUCAGUCAGAUGCGUACCGUGAAAGUGAGAGCUAACAAGUUGUUGUGCUCUAACUGAUCAUAGUGUUGAUGCUGGAACAGAAGGUAACUGAAAUUCUCUAAGAGAGUGAAAAUAUAGCAUGCUUCAUAUAUAGCAUGGAAUCACUCGACUAAGUUGAGCCUCCUGUUUGUCGGUGUUGGUGGUCUUCAAUAACACUUGGUUUGAUUUCAAUACUCUCCUGAAAAUAAAGUGUUUUUAUUAGAAUAAUGAAUCACAUAUCUACACUCCCUUCUGUUCUGUGGCCCCAUUUUCCCUUUAUUUGAUUCUUUUUUUUUUCAUUCAGAGUUUGUGUACAGCUUUAGCCUAAUCUCCAUGAAUCAUUCUCAUACUUUCAUACUUUGUGGUCAACUUUUGUGGUCAACUUUUGCCAACUAAUCAGAGAUGUCAUGCACCUAUAUUGGCCUGAGUCACAAAUAGGAGACUGAAAGAGAUGCCGCACACCGUUAGUCGCUGAUUCAUCCCGAACAUAAAAUAUUUAUAUUUUAAUAAAUUAAAGUGCAUAUCUGGGCUCCCUUCUUUUCUGUGGCCCCGUUUCCCCUUGACUCGUAAUAAGCCCGUAGGGGGUCAUGCCCCUACUGUGAUCAGC